AUACGUAGGGUGCGAGCGUUGUCCGGAAUUACUGGGCGUAAAGAGCUCGUAGGUGGUUUGUCGCGUCGUCUGUGAAACUCCGGGGCUUAACUCCGGGCGUGCAGGCGAUACGGGCAUAACUUGAGUACUGUAGGGGAGACUGGAAUUCCUGGUGUAGCGGUGAAAUGCGCAGAUAUCAGGAGGAACACCGGUGGCGAAGGGGGGUCUCUGGGCAGUAACUGACGCUGGGGAGCGAAAGCAUGGGUAGCUAACAGGAUUAGAUACCCUGGUAGUCCAUGCCGUAAACGGUGGGCGCUAGGUGUAGGGGUCUUCCACGACUUCUGUGCCGUAGCUAACGCAUUAAGCGCCCCGCCUGGGGAGUACGGCCGCAAGGCUAAAACUCAAAUGAAUUGACGGGG
rnacentral:rRNA from 1 species